rnacentral:rRNA from 1 species
GACGAACGCUGGCGGCGUGGAUUAGGCAUGCAAGUCGAACGGUAUCAUCCUUUCGGGGGUGAGAGAGUGGCGAACUGGUGAGUAACACGUAGGUUAUCUACCCUCAAGACGGGGACAACCCAGGGAAACUUGGGCUAAUACCGGAUGUGAGCAACUUUUAGUUGUUUGAAAGGUGGCGUAAGCUGUCGCUUGGGGAUGAGCCUGCGUCCUAUUAGUUAGUUGGUGAGGUAACGGCUCACCUAGGCAAUGAUGGUAGGCGGCCUUAACGGGUGGUCGCCCACACUGGGAUUGAGAUACGGCCCAGACUCCUACGGGAGGCAGCAGUCGAGAAUAGUCUACAAUGGUCGGAAGACUGAUAGUGCGACGCCGCGUGAACGAUGAAUCCCUUCGGGGUGUAAAGUUCUUUUAUAUGUGAGCAGUGCUUCUUAUAUUAACAGUAUGGGGAGAGAGAUAUUAGCAUAUGAAUAAGCAACGGCUAACUCCGUGCCAGCAGCCGCGGUAAACUCGU